AGUGAACGCUGGCGGUAGGCCUAACACAUGCAAGUCGAACGGCAGCACAGGAGAGCUUGCUCUCUGGGUGGCGAGUGGCGGACGGGUGAGGAAUACAUCGGAAUCUACUCUGUCGUGGGGGAUAACGUAGGGAAACUUACGCUAAUACCGCAUACGACCUACGGGUGAAAGCAGGGGACCUGCGGGCCUUGCGCGAUUGAAUGAGCCGAUGUCGGAUUAGCUAGUUGGCGGGGUAAAGGCCCACCAAGGCGACGAUCCGUAGCUGGUCUGAGAGGAUGAUCAGCCACACUGGAACUGAGACACGGUCCAGACUCCUACGGGAGGCAGCAGUGGGGAAUAUUGGACAAUGGGCGCAAGCCUGAUCCAGCCAUACCGCGUGGGUGAAGAAGGCCUUCGGGUUGUAAAGCCCUUUUGUUGGGAAAGAAAUCCAGCUGGCUAAUACCCGGUUGGGAUGACGGUACCCAAAGAAUAAACACCGGCUAACUUCGUGCCAGCAGCCGCCGUAA
rnacentral:rRNA from 1 species